rnacentral:misc_RNA from 1 species
AUUUGCAUUUUUUAAGGCCCUUUUUUUCAAAAGAAAAUAUUUCAAUGUGCAACUUAAAUUGAUGUAUUCACAAAAAUGUGGGGAAAAUCAAAUGAAUUUUGAAAAAAAUAAUUUUUGUUGUCGACCUUUUUGCAUGUUGUACAUUUACAAAAUUAAGAAGUUGACAUUAUUAAUUAUCUUUUUGUUUUCAUCCUGCAGUAUCAUCCGUGAUAUCA